rnacentral:rRNA from 1 species
GUGCACCAGUCGCGAAUACUCCACAAUGCGCGAAAGCGUGAUGGGGCCAUCCCGAGUGCCGUCCGCUGAGGACGGCUUUUCCCCGGUGUACACAGCCGGGGGAAUAAGGAGAGGGCAAGCCUGGUGUCAGCCGCCGCGGUAAUACCAGCUCUCCGAGUGGUGGGGACGAUUAUUGGGCCUAAAGCGUCCGUAGCCGGCUCGGCAUGUCUCCCCGUUAAAUCCAACGAUCCAAUCGUUGGACUGCGGGAGAUACUGUCGGGCUAGGGGGCGGGAGAGGUCGGCGGUAUUCCCGGGGUAGGGGUGAAAUCCGUAUAAUCCCCGGGAGGACCACCAGUGGCGAAGGCUGUCGGCUAGAACGCGCCCGACGGUGAGGGGAUGGAAACGCUGGGGGGAGCGGAACCGGAUUAGAUACCCGUGUAGU